rnacentral:rRNA from 1 species
GUGGAUUAGAUACCCUGGUAGUCCUAGCUGUAAACGAUGUGAACUUGGCGUCGGUGGGUUUAAAUCCAUCGGUGCCGAAGCUAACGCGAUAAGUUCACCACCUGGGGACUACGGCCGCAAGGUUAAAACUCAAAGGAAUUGACGGGGGCCCGCACAAGCAGCGGAGCGUGUGGUUUAAUUCGAUGUUACACGAAGAACCUUACCAGGGUUUGACAUACAAGUGGUAGUGAAUCGAAAGAGGAACGACCCUUCGGGGAGCUUGAACAGGUGUUGCACGGCCGUCGCCAACU